UACGUAGGGUGCAAGCGUUAAUCGGAAUUACUGGGCGUAAAGCGUGCGCAGGCGGCUAUGCAAGACAGAUGUGAAAUCCCCGGGCUCAACCUGGGAACUGCAUUUGUGACUGCAUGGCUAGAGUACGGUAGAGGGGGAUGGAAUUCCGCGUGUAGCAGUGAAAUGCGUAGAGAUGUGGAGGAACACCGAUGGCGAAGGCAGCCCCCUGGGUCAACACUGACGCUCAUGCACGAAAGCGUGGGGAGCAAACAGG
rnacentral:rRNA from 1 species